rnacentral:rRNA from 1 species
GACGAACCGAGCGAACGUUGUUCGGAAUCACUGGGCUUAAAGGGCGCGUAGGCGGGCCGCCGCGUCCGGGGUGAAAUCCUCCCGCUCAACGGGAGAACGGCCUCGGAUACGGGCGGCCUGGAGGGGGGUAGGGGCGUGCGGAACUGUGGGUGGAGCGGUGAAAUGCGUUGAUAUCCACAGGAACUCCGGUGGCGAAGGCGGCACG